rnacentral:lncRNA from 10 species
UCUUGUUUCUAUUCUUUUAAUCGCUCCCUUCCUGGGUUUUAUAUUGCACGCCCGGUCUUCCAGCGUCAUGGUUACUGUAGUAAACAAACUGAAGGUCUGAAUGCAUCUUUUUCUCCCCCUGUAGCAUGAAGAGCAGUUCGCGGUAUCCGGUAGAUAGGAAGCACAAAUAGGCUCUCCUGUUCGUCCUCCAGGGGCCCACGCUAGCCCCUCACCUCCCCUGAAGCCUUUUCUAACCGCUGCGGCCUCCGUGGUCCCCCACGCCUGUGUUCCUGUAGGACGUUUACAGUUCACACGAUGUCUCAUCUCUCGGUAUAUGUCUCCCAGAAAUCUCAAUGUUAACAGAAACGAAAAUGGACGGCCAUAUGUCACAAGAGAAUGAAAUCUUUGCUCCCAAUCCCUGUCUUCAGAGCUGACCUAGAAGCCAGCCACUCCACUCAGACCCAAUUCGGAUCACUAUGUUCGUGAGGACUUUAACAGCAUCAGGAGCUCCCUCUGACUGCUAUAUGAAGAGAACUGCACUCCUGCCCGAGCAACAGAGCAAGACUGAAGAAGGAAGGAAGGAAGGAAGAAAGAAAGGAAGGAAGGAAGGAAGGGUUCUCCAGAGAAACAGAACUAAUAGAAGAAAUAACGUAAGAGAAAGAGAGAGAGAGAUUUAAAGAAUUGCCUCAUACAACUGGGGGUGCUGGCAAGUCGAAAAUCCCCAGAGCAAGCCAGCAGGCUUGAGAUUCUGGAUUACAAGAAAAAACAAAGUAUUGUAGGUAAAAACAAUACAGCCAAGAAACGUCAUCUUAUGUUUAUACAUUUAGAAGCAUCCUUUGGAGCAGGAAGAACUUAAAUUCUAAAUCUCAAGAUAGCUAAAACAGAUGCACUAUUCCAAGGAGCCAGCAAGGAAAAUACAAUCCUGCUUCUCAAACACAUCCCCUGGAAUUGGUCGCAAGUUAUCUUCAGAGAAGAGAAUUGUCACCAGAUUAAGAGAGUAAAGGACCCGAUGACAAGCACGCCUGCAUUGCAUUCACAGGGCUGGCUUUCAGUUCUCCAAAAAAUUCAUGUCAUUGCCUAAAAAUUACUAAUGGAAAUUGGUACGCAGACAGAUACAAUACUGUUGUUGUUUUUGGUUGUGGUUUUACUUCUACUAAAGCCCACAGCACUGCUGAGGAAUUAUCCUCUGAACUGAAAAGUCCUAAAGUUAGGCUUGUAUUUGACUUCAAACAAUAAACCCCAUGCUGAAAAUGGCUUCAGCAGAUACAGCUCUUCCCUCCAGUGAGCAGGCAGUGAGGAGCAGGCAACCCAGUCUCCUUCUGACUUCCUGUUUAUGUUCCAAGCAGGAAGAAGGGAGAAAGACAAGAAUGCAAAAGGCAGAAUGGGCAUCCAGUCUCAUCUGUCCGUUUUAAAAGCUUUCCUAGAAGCUCUACCCAGCAACUCCCACGCCCAUCUCAUUGACGAGAACUGGGUCACAUGACCACUACUCCUGGCGAAGGAGUCUAAGAGGUUAUACCAUAUCAGGACCCUGAAGAUGUCAUCUGAUCCAGCUACCUUUACAAUUAGGAAAGUAUUGUCUAUAGUCUGAGUUAUAUUGCAACAUUUCUUUCCAUUCAAUUCAUCACACGUUUAAUGAUCAUUUACUGUGUAUUAGAAAGGUGUCAUUAAAUCACCGAGUCUUAGAGCUUUAAGAAAUCUUUGAGACAUUUAAGUUUAAACUUCUCGUUUUCUUAAUGGAGAUAAAAGUCAUAUAACAUAAAAUUC